GCUGGGUGCAGUGGCGCAUGCCUGUAAUCCCAGUGGCUCUAGAGGCUGAGGCAGGAGGAUCAUGAGUUCAAAGCCAGUCUCAGCAAAAGCAAGGCGGUAAGCAACUCAGUGGGACCCUGUCUCUA
rnacentral:sRNA from 1 species